rnacentral:rRNA from 1 species
GAUGAACGCUGGCGGCGUGCCUAAUACAUGCAAGUCGAGCGAACAGAUGAGGAGCUUGCUCCUCUGACGUUAGCGGCGGACGGGUGAGUAACACGUGGAUAACCUACCUAUAAGACUGGGAUAACUUCGGGAAACCGGAGCUAAUACCGGAUAAUAUAUUGAACCGCAUGGUUCAAUAGUGAAAGACGGUUUUGUUGUCACUUAUAGAUGGAUCCGCGCCGCAUUAGCUAGUUGGUAAGGUAACGGCUUACCAAGGCAACGAUGCGUAGCCGACCUGAGAGGGUGAUCGGCCACACGGGAACUGAGACACGGUCCAGACUCCUACGGUAGGCAGCAGUAGGGAAUCUUCCGCAAUGGGCGAAAGCCUGACGGAGCAACGCCGCGUGAGUGAUGAAGGUCUUCGGAUCGUAAAACUCUGUUAUUAGGGAAGAACAAAUGUGUAAGUAACUAUGCACGUCUUGACGGUACCUAAUCAGAAAGCCACGGCUAACUACGUG